CCAGUACCCAGUAGUCAUCUGUGCCAGGGGGUUAUCCAGGUACAGAACAUUCCCAUCGUUGCAGAAGGUUCUAUCAGCUAGCACUGGGUUGGACGACACUUGCCAAGACGAGCUGGCUAGAGGAUGGUUCUCCGGACCUGGUCCCACGUGGUUCCCAGGUUCCAGCCCCGGAGAGCAAUGUGAGCAAAGCUUGCUGUCUUUGCAAAGCCAACCACUGUGGCAUCAACUCCUUCAGGAAGCCCUCCCGGAUUGUCCAAGGCGCGGCCCUGCUGCCACCCCCUUGGGGGCUCGGAGCGCGACAGCAGCUUGGGGACGCCUCCCGCGCCCAGCACGGUGCACCUGGGCCCUGAGGUCCUGGCCGAAACGCGCCAAGUUGGGGGUAGGUGCAGCGACCCCAUACCCCUCG
rnacentral:lncRNA from 1 species